AUUGAACGCUGGCGGCAGGCCUAACACAUGCAAGUCGAGCGAGCGGCGGACGGGUGAGUAAUGUCUGGGAAACUGCCUGAUGGAGGGGGAUAACUACUGGAAACGGUAGCUAAUACCGCAUACCAUCAGAUGUGCCCAGAUGGGAUUAGCUAGUAGGUGGGGUAACGGCUCACCUAGGCAACGAUCCCUAGCUGGUAUGAGAGGAUGACCAGCAAGACGGGAACUGGUACACGGUCCAUACUCCUCCGGGAGGCAGCAGUGGUGAAUAUUGCACGAUGGGCGCAAUCCUGAUGCAGCCAUGCCGCGUGUGUGAAGAAGGCCUGCGGGUUGUAAAGCACUUUCAGCGGUGAGGCGUUACCCGCAGAAGAAGCACCGGCUAACUCCGUGCCAGCCACCGCGGUAAUAC
rnacentral:rRNA from 1 species